UCCUCUUGGAGGGAGAGCGGCCUGGGGCGAGAGUGGUUUCUGUGUUUCCUUGGUGUUGCGUGAAAGGCGCGUGUGGGCCGAGUGUGAGUGGACGCAUGACUGUGAAUGUGCGCGUGGGGCGUGCAAGGCGAGUGUGUGCGCCCGCCCCUGAGCCCCUCCCCCGCCUACACCUUGAUCUUAUUUGAUCGGGUUGUGACCCUAUGCCCCGCGGGGCCGACCUGAAAUGAAAAGCUCCCCUCCUGCGAAGCCCCCCUCCUCGGGGGCGCUGUGCAGCGAGGCCCCUUUGGCGGCGGCGACGCCGCGGUCCCGGAGCCGAUCUUACCGGGCCCGGCGCUCAGAAGUGAUGAAUUGAUCAGAUAGACGAGGCCGGGCUAGUCCCGGGCCACUGAUUAUCGAGGCGAUUCUGAUCUGA